rnacentral:rRNA from 1 species
GUAGGGGUGCGAGCGUUGUCCGGAAUUACUGGGCGUUAAAGAGCUCGUAGGUGGUUUGUCGCGUUGUUCGUGAAAACUCACAGCUUAACUGUGGGCGUGCGGGCGAUACGGGCAGACUGGAGUACUGCAGGGGAGAUUGGAAUUCCUGGUGUAGCGGUGGAAUGCGCAGAUAUCAGGAGGAACACCGGUGGCGAAGGCGGGUCUCUGGGCAGUAACUGACGCUGAGGAGCGAAAGCGUGGGGAGCGAACAGGAUUAGAUACCCUGGUAGUCCACGCCGUAAACGGUGGGUACUAGGUGUGGGUUCCGUCCUUGGGAUCCGUGCCGUAGCUAACGCAUUAAGUACCCCGCCUGGGGAGUACGGCCGCAAGGCUA